rnacentral:rRNA from 1 species
AUGCCGGCGGCGUCCGUGUCCUGGUCGUCGCUGCCCCCCGACCUCGUCAGCUGCGUUGGGGAAAUCCUCCUCUCUGCCGGUGACAUCGACUCCUACAUGACCUUCCGUGCCGCGUGUCGCAGCUGGCGUGCCGCCACGGAUGAUCCAUGCGGCCUAAGCCGCCGCUUCCGUCCCCAUAGAUGGGUUAUGCUCGACGAUCUCUCCCGCCACGUCGACUCCCGCCUCUUUCUUAACCUCGACACCGGGCGCUUCCUACGGAAGAACGUGCCCCUCCUCAACGACGGUGCCUACACCUAUGUCGGCGCGGCCGACGGUCUUAUCCUCCUGAAAGUGGACACUGGGUAUGGCUGCGACAUAUGCAUCCUCAACCCCUUCACGGGUUCGACGCUCCGCUUCCCUUCAGGCCUUGCGUCUCGUCGCCAAUGCUCCCGCGUCGCUGUGACCGCCGACGCGACGGCGCCACUCGUCUUUCUCUUUCUUGACUGUUUAGGCGGAGUGUGCUAUGAUCCGAGUAACCCUCUCCCCCGGUGGUUUAGUGCCGAACGCAGUCCGGUCAACAUGCUCAUUAACGUGUUGUCCUUCCAAGGCCGCGCAUAUAUCGCCGAUGCUGGUGGGUCAGUUAAGGUCGUGGGUUGCCCGAAGGGGCCGCAUACCAACCUUGAGAUCACUACCAUCAUCAAACACAAUAGUGUAACAGAGCGAAGCUUCCUCGUGGAUAACGUCGGGGAGCUAUUGCUUGUAGGCAAGCUACCAUCGAUGCCAGGCCACCCACGGUACUCGCCGUUUGUAAGGCGCAUGCACGUCUUCAGGCUUGACCUCGAGAGGAAAGCCUUGGAGCCGAUCAAGAGCAUCGGAAACCGUGCUAUAUUCCUUGGUCCCGGCCACUGUCUCUCCAUCGACACUAACCAUCUUCCUGCCAUCGAAGCUAACUGCAUCUACUACUACAAUGUCAAGGAAAAAGACAUUCAGAUGUAUUUGUACCACCUUGAGGACGGCAGCCGGGAGUUGCUCACAUCUCCCCCUCUACACGGUCCCUCGAGUCUUGCGCAGAUUAUCCUAGAAUACUGCAGGGGGAGAUCAUAA